AACGUAGGACGCAAGCGUUAUCCGGAAUUACUGGGCGUAAAGCGCGUGUAGGUGGUUGCAUAAGUCACUGUUGAAAGCUCCCGGCUAAACUGGGAGACGACAGGUCAGACUGCCGAACUCGAGUCCGAUAGAGGGGCGUAGAAUUCCGGGUGUAGCGGUGAAAUGUGUAGAGAUCCGGAGGAAUACCAGUGGCGCAAGCGGCGCCCUGGGUCGGUACUGACGCUGAGAUACGAAAGCGUGGGGAGCGAACGGG
rnacentral:rRNA from 1 species